UACGUAGGUGACAAGCGUUGUCCGGAUUUACUGGGCGUAAAGAGCGCGCAGGCGGUCGAUCAAGUCGAGUGUGAAAGCCCCCGGCUCAACUGGGGAGGGUCAUUCGAAACUGGUCGACUCGAAGGCAGGAGAGGGUAGUGGAAUUCCGAGUGUAGAGGUGAAAUUCGUAGAUAUUAGGAAGAACACCAGUGGCGAAGGCGGCUCACUGGUCCGGUACUGACGCUGAGGUGCGAAAGCGUGGGGAGCAAACAGG
rnacentral:rRNA from 1 species